UAAGGAGUAGUAUAAUGGAAGUGCGAAGAGUUUUGAUCUCCUAGGUAUGGGUUCAAUUCCCAUUUCUUUAA
rnacentral:tRNA from 1 species